rnacentral:rRNA from 1 species
UACAGAGACUGCAAGCGUUAUUCGGAUUCACUGGGCGUAAAGCGUGCGCAGGCGGUUUUGUAAGCCAGAUGUGAAAUCCCCGGGCUUAACCUGGGAAUGGCAUUUGGGACUGCAAGGCUUGAGUGCGGCAGAGGAGACUGGAAUUCCCGGUGUAGCAGUGAAAUGCGUAGAUAUCGGGAGGAAUACCGAUGGCGAAGGCAGGUCUCUGGGCUGACACUGACGCUCAUGCACGAAAGCGUGGGGAGCAAACAGG